rnacentral:rRNA from 1 species
AUAUCAAUAAGCGGAGGAAAAGAAAUCAACAGGGAUUACCUCAGUAACGGCGAGUGAAGCGGUAACAGCUCAAAUUUGAAAGCUGCCAACAGGCCGCGUUGUAAUUUGUAGAAGAUGCUUUGGGGAUCGGCCUGGUCUAAGUUCCUUGGAACGGGACGUCAUAGAGGGUGAGAAUCCCGUCUAGAACCGGUAGCCGCGUCCAUGUGAAACUCCUUCGACGAGUCGAGUUGUUUGGGAAUGCAGCUCAAAAUGGGUGGUAAAUUUCAUCUAAAGCUAAAUAUUGGCCAGAGACCGAUAGCGCACAAGUA